rnacentral:rRNA from 1 species
AGUGAACGCUGGCGGUAGGCCUAACACAUGCAAGUCGAACGGCAGCACAGUAAGAGCUUGCUCUUACGGGUGGCGAGUGGCGGACGGGUGAGGAAUACAUCGGAAUCUACUUUUUCGUGGGGGAUAACGUAGGGAAACUUACGCUAAUACCGCAUACGACCUACGGGUGAAAGCAGGGGAUCUUCGGACCUUGCGCGAUUGAAUGAGCCGAUGUCGGAUUAGCUAGUUGGCGGGGUAAAGGCCCACCAAGGCGACGAUCCGUAGCUGGUCUGAGAGGAUGAUCAGCCAAACUGGAACUGAGACACGGUCCAGACUCCUACGGGAGGCAGCAGUGGGGAAUAUUGGACAAAGGGAGCAAGCCUGAUCCAGCCAUACCGCGUGGGUGAAGAAGGCCUUCGGGUUGUAAAGACCUUUUGUUGGGAAAGAAAAGCAGCAGGUUAAUAACCCGCUGUUCUGACGGUACCCAAAGAAUAAGCACCGGCUAACUUCGUG